rnacentral:tRNA from 1 species
UCUCCCAUCGUCUAGAGGCCAAGGACCCCGGGUUUUCAGUCCGGUAACGCGAGUUCAAAUCUCGCUGGGAGAACCA